rnacentral:rRNA from 1 species
GAUGAACGCUGGCGGCGUGCCUAAUACAUGCAAGUCGAGCGAGUUGACAGAGGUGCUUGCACCUCUCGAUUUUAGCGGCGGACGGGUGAGUAACACGUGGGUAACCUACCUAUAAGACUGGGAUAACUUCGGGAAACCGGAGCUAAUACCGGAUAAUAUUUAGCUUCGCAUGAAGCAAUAGUGAAAGACGGUUCUGCUGUCACUUAUAGAUGGUCCUGAGGGGUAUUAGCUAGUUGGUGAGGUAACGGCUCACCAAGGCAACGAUACAUAGCCGACCUGGGAGGGUGAUCGGCCACACUGGGACUGAGACACGGCCCAGACUCCUACGGGAGGCAGCAGUAGGGAAUCUUCCGCAAUGGACGAAAGUCUGACGGAGCAACGCCGCGUGAGUGAAGAAGGUUUUCGGAUCGUAAAACUCUGUUGUAAGGGAAGAACAAGUACGUUAGUAACUGAACGUACCUUGACGGUACCUUACCAGAAAGCCACGGCUAACUACGUGCCAGCAGCCGCCGUAAAAC